GUUGGAGCCUAAACCUGUGCCAAGGGACAUCGAUGCUGGAAUCAGGUAAGAGACAGAGUUUUUUUCUUUUAACCCCUUCUGCAUGGAGGGGGGCACUAUAGAGAGCUAUAGUCCAGGAAAACAUUUUUGUUUUCCUGGCAGUAUAAUUUCCCUUUAAGCACAUGUGAUGGACCGACUGGCACCCCGAUUGGGUGCUUCCGCCAAUUGAUGCUUCCUAGUGCUCACGAGUACUUCCAAGCACUCCACAGGACACCAUCAGCACUGUAGAUCCUUAGCCGCUGCAGUUUGGCUGGAGUCUUGCUGUCUUCCACCCACCCUGGACCCAAGUCAGGGAUCCAGCUUCCAGUGGGUAGACCUCUCCUACUCCAGAGAGUAUAGCAGGAUAGCUCUUACAAGAGAUAGUGAUAUAGCUGUUCCAUACAAUCACAAGAUGAGGCUCUGUGAGGGUGAAGUUGACCUGUUUAAUGGCAGCCUCAACUGGCCUUAUAUGCAAGUCCCAAUGCAAGGGGUUUUCCAUAAUAUAUUCCAGGGGCAUUCCCCACUGGACCUGAGAGGGGACUGUGACAAAGUACACACUGUAAUCACAUUGGCUCUCAGGUCCAGGGCACUCCCACACAAAACAGGAUCAUCCCUUCCCUGUGCCUGAGAGAUAAUUGAGUCAGGAACUGUACUAAACUCUGUUAUCUCCAGGCACAGAAAACAUUUCUUACAAUAACCCAAAAGUACCCCCGAAACACA